rnacentral:rRNA from 1 species
AGUGAACGCUGGCGGUAGGCCUAACACAUGCAAGUCGAACGGCAGCACAGUAAGAGCUUGCUCUUACGGGUGGCGAGUGGCGGACGGGUGAGGAAUACAUCGGAAUCUACUUUUUCGUGGGGGAUAACGUAGGGAAACUUACGCUAAUACCGCAUACGACCUACGGGUGAAAGCAGGGGAUCUUCGGACCUUGCGCGAUUGAAUGAGCCGAUGUCGGAUUAGCUAGUUGGCGGGGUAAAGGCCCACCAAGGCGACGAUCCGUAGCUGGUCUGAGAGGAUGAGCAGCCACACUGGAACUGAGACACGGUCCAGACUCCUACGGGAGGCAGCAGUGGGGAAUAUUGGACAAUGGGCGCAAGCCUGAUCCAGCCAUACCGCGUGGGUGAAGAAGGCCUUCGGGUUGUAAAGCCCUUUUGUUGGGAAAGAAAAGCAGCAGGUUAAUACCCCGCUGUUCUGACGGUACCCAAAGAGUAAGCACCGGCUAACUUCGUG